GCCUUUUACCUCCCCUGCAACUACUGUUGGCUGAGACUUGAGAUUGAUCUGACCCAUGAUGAAUAUGUGUGUAUCUGUGAACGGCAACAGCACAGCGCUGAUCUGAGGGUGGUCCUGUAAUACCAGCCCAGGCUGGUGACAAGCAAGAAAUUGAGCCCUGACUCAAGAACAGAACUAUAUGCUCACCUUUCAGCUGUGACUUUAGUUGGCCAUACGCACGACAACAUCUCUUUUGCUGGAUGAGAGUAAACUAAACACAGUCAGAGUUCCUGUAUAAAUGGAGAUGAUUCAGGAUUGCUCUCUGUCACAAACCUUCCGUGAAUUUCAGGUAUAUGAGAGACCUGCAACUCCACAGUUCGCGUUUGGGGUUGUCAGCUCAAGGAGCUUUCACUUCCCAUUCAUUACUGCCUAAGUGAGCUGCUGGGAAGCCACGGAGCACAAAGCAAUGCCACUCAUGCUGCCAUCGCUCCUAUUUUCAGCUCCACAAGCUCCAGAGCAAAGCAAUGUGAGGGGAGGAUGGAAGAACCAGGCUGCCCGGACACCUCGUCACAGCUGUGACUUACCCUCCUCUAAGACUCUGCUUUGCUCCGUGCAUUGCUGGAGGAUGAGGUAAGGAAUAAAAAAAUUCACUGAUAAUUUUUUUUUUUUCUGUGGCAAUUACUGUACAUUUAUUGGGUUUAUGCUGCUUUCUUUUGGCCCUGUGCUUCUGAGGUUUUGUUUAGUGGCAUGGGGCCUCUUGUCCUGCCUUUUGAGAUUGAGAGCCAUGACUGCUUACAGACUUGUUGAUCCAAUAUGCCCUAUGGGGCUUAAUUUUGAAGUGCCGUUAUUGAUUUGUCACUUAGGAGUGAGGUGAUAAGCUAUCCUUCUUACUAGUCAAGAUCUUUCUAGCUCUCUAGCCUCAGCACAGCAUCUGCUGCAGUCAUGUCUUCUGCAGAAAGUUGAACAUCUGUUUGGAGAGAAGUCCCAGGGUUUUCAGGCCAAACCUCAUUAGCUCAUUUCAACAGGCAGUGAA